UACGGAGGGUGCAAGCGUUAAUCGGAAUUACUGGGCGUAAAGCGUGCGCAGGCGGUUCGUUGUGUCGGCGGUGAAAGCCCCGGGCUCAACCUGGGAAUGGCCGUUGAAACUGGCGAACUGGAGUGUGGCAGAGGGGGGUGGAAUUCCGCGUGUAGCAGUGAAAUGCGUAGAGAUGCGGAGGAACACCGAUGGCGAAGGCGGCAUCCUGGACUGGUCCUGACACUCAUGAGCGAAAGCGUGGGGAGCGAUCCGG
rnacentral:rRNA from 1 species